GACGAACGCUGGCGGCGUGCUUAACACAUGCAAGUCGAGCGGUAAGGCCCUUUCGGGGGUACACGAGCGGCGAACGGGUGAGUAACACGUGGGUGACCUGCCUUUAGCUCUGGGAUAAGCCUGGGAAACCGGGUCUAAUACCGGAUAUGACUCCGCGGCGCAUGUUGUGGGGUGGAAAGCCUUGUGCGGCUGGAGAUGGGUCUGCGGCCUAUCAGCUAGUUGGUGGGGUAACGCCUACCAAGGCGACGACGGGUAGCUGGUCUGAGAGGAUGAUCAGCCAGAC
rnacentral:rRNA from 1 species